rnacentral:rRNA from 1 species
GGGUGAGUAACACGUGGGCAACCUGCCUGUAAGACUGGGAUAACUUCGGGAAACCGAAGCUAAUACCGGAUAGGAUCUUCUCCUUCAUGGGAGAUGAUUGAAAGAUGGUUUCGGCUAUCACUUACAGAUGGGCCCGCGGUGCAUUAGCUAGUUGGUGAGGUAACGGCUCACCAAGGCAACGAUGCAUAGCCGACCUGAGAGGGUGAUCGGCCACACUGGGACUGAGACACGGCCCAGACUCCUACGGGAGGCAGCAGUAGGGAAUCUUCCGCAAUGGACGAAAGUCUGACGGAGCAACGCCGCGUGAGUGAUGAAGGCUUUCGGGUCGUAAAACUCUGUUGUUAGGGAAGAACAAGUACAAGAGUAACUGCUUGUACCUUGACGGUACCUAACCAGAAAGCCACGGCUAACUACGUGCCAGCAGCCGCGGUAAUACGUAGGUGGCAAGCGUUAUCCGGAAUUAUUGGGCGUAAAGCGCGCGCAGGCGGUUUCUUAAGUCUGAUGUGAAAGCCCACGGCUCAACCGUGGAGGGUCAUUGGAAACUGGGGAACUUGAGUGCAGAAGAGAAAAGCGGAAUUCCACGUGUAGCGGUGAAAUGCGUAGAGAUGUGGAGGAACACCAGUGGCGAAGGCGGCUUUUUUGGUCUGUA